rnacentral:rRNA from 1 species
UACGUAGGUGGCAAGCGUUGUCCGGAUUUACUGGGCGUAAAGAGCGCGCAGGCGGUCGAUCAAGUCGCGUGUGAAAGCCCCCGGCUCAACUGGGGAGGGUCACGCGAUACUGAUCGACUCGAAGGCAGGAGAGGGUAGUGGAAUUCCCGGUGUAGUGGUGAAAUGCGUAGAUAUCGGGAGGAACACCAGUGGCGAAGGCGACUACCUGGCCUGUUCUGACGCUGAGGCGCGGAAA